rnacentral:lncRNA from 1 species
UGUUACUAAUCUCUUUUGAUCAUGCAUCUUGGUCAAAACAAGCAAUAAUCUGCAGCCUAAAUUCCUUAGGUGAUGAAUCUUUUCAGCUUUUGACUAUCAUUGUAUUUAUUUUGCUUUUAUUGUUGGAAGAUAAUUUUUUCUGGGUAUGAAUUCUAACUUGUUUUUAUUUUUAUUGUCUUAUAGCACCUUAAAUAUUAUUCCAUUGCCUUUGGCUUUCAUUAUUUCGAUAUGAAGUUUGUAUUGAUUCUUACCUUCAUUUCUUUGUAGGUCUUGUGAGUUUUUUUCCUCACAUUUAAGAUUUUCUUCUUAUAGCUCACAUCAAGCAAUUGAAUUAUUAUGUGCC